rnacentral:tRNA from 1 species
GCCGACGUAGCUCAAUUGGCAGAGCGCUCGCCUUGUAAGCGAGGGGUUAGGGGUUCAAGUCCCCUCGUCGGCU